UGAAUUACCGAUUUUGGAUUACUGUUUUGCUCUGUUUGCCUGGUUGGACUGAUUACCUGUUAACAACUACUUUGCCUGCUUCAUGACUACAUCUCUGCCUUGUGUGUUGGAUUUGUAUGCUGAUUGUAAAUAAACUUCCUGCAUUUGGAUUCUACCUUCGCCUCCAUGUCGAGUCCCUCACAGUUAGUUAAUGUCAGGCUUGUGAUCAAAAAUCUCCCUGCCUGCUGGUUAACUGCUGGGCAAAAAGGAGUAGCGGAACAUGGGGUCAGGCGCUUCAUUGUUCAUAUUCAAUACCGAGAGAGGAUCAAAGGCCAUCCAGAGAAAAGGUUGUCUCAAAGAAGACGGGCGAUUGUCCAGAAGAAAUAUUCCACAGUCAAUACACAUGUCUCCACACUUCUGAAGAACCUCAUUGACUUUGAAUGGGACUUCAUAUAGGAGCCAUUAUGACUGAAAAGGACACAUUUGUCAACACUUAGUGGUACCCUGGAAUAAAUAUGGGAGAGGAACAAGCAGCCUGGUGAUGAUCACCUUUAACGGAGGAAAAGAUUUCUCUCUAAGCAUGCACCUACCUCAAAGGACUCUUUUAUAACAUCCAACAUGUGCCUCCUUCACAGGACUCUUUAAAAAAAAAAAUUAAAUAAAAAAUAAUACAAAAAACCUGAACAAAUGUUUUUCCCCAUAUUGAUGUUCACUAUGUUCAUAAUAGUGCAGAUUAUUAAAAAUGUAAAAUUGUGUAUUUGUAAUAUUUCAACUCUCAGGUGUUUUCAUGUUUGUAAGACCUCUAUGCAAUUUAAGAUUUUUUUUUUUUUUUUUUGCCAUUGUUUCAAGCAGCAAUUUUUUACAUUUUAUUUAUUGAAAGUUUUUAUUUUGCCAUGUUUUAGAAUUUAUGUUGACUCUGCCUUUUUAAAUAAGUUUAUUUUGAUUUAUAUACUUUCUAAAGUGUUUAUUGCUUUUUAUAUAUAUAUAGAUUUUUCAAUAUAAUGUAUUAAGCAGAUGUGUGU